AUUUGGUGCAAUAUCGACUCUGUUGAAUAAAAUUCUGGGUGGAAUUAUGAUAAUGACAUUGUCUGCCCAUGUGUCUUGACCAAAUUACGUGCCAGCAGUCGCGGUAAUACGUAGAAGACUAGUGUUAUUCAUCUUUAAUAGGUUUAAAGGGUACCUAGACAGUAAAUAAAGCCAUAGAAGGGACUAGUUUGCUAGAGUUACUUAUGAGGGGGUUGAAAUGUACUAGUGGUGUAGAGAUAAAAUUUGUUGAUACCUUUUUCCUAGAGAAGACAUAUGGCACAGAUAUAGGCGAAAGCGUCUCCUUAUGUGAUAACUGACGUUGAGGGACGAAGGCUUCUGGUAACAAACAGGAUUAGAGACCCUGGUAGUCGGAGCAGAAAAUGAUGAGUGUCAUAGAUUAGAUUUUUUUUAUUCUAUAAAUGAAAGUGUAAGCAUUCCACCUCAAGAGUAAUUUGGCAACAUUGGAACUGAAAUCAUUAGACCGUUUCUGAAACCAGUAGUGAAGUAUGUGUGCGACAAGAAGCGGAUAUUAGUAAUGCAAUUUUUAUUGCUAGGUUAUUUCUUUACCUAACACUACCCACACAUGCUGGUCAGUAAUGUAAAGUGUGAAGCUGUGGGGACAAUGUAGCCUGUUUUAAAUGACAAUGUAAAUACAUUUUUUAUUUACAGGAGCUAGUGUAGUAAGACAUGGAGAGCGAAAGCAAAAAUAACAAAGACGUUUCGUUACACUAAUUAUGGAAGGUAAUAUAUUUGACAUACUAAUCUAUUAAAGAAACCACAUUUCCAUCGGAAUAAAGUUAUUCUCCUAAAUUUUACAAUUGUGCUAAUUUCUGAACUUGGUAAACCCUUUAUUUUAAGCAAUUUUGUAUAAAAUUUUUAUACAAAUUUGAAGAGGCAACAUAUAAGGUUAUCGAAGUUGUUGUAUCGAAUAAAGGGCAGAGGAUAAGUUAAAAAGCAAAUGCCUAAUCUAAUAUUUCAAUGGAAGUAAAUUUAGAUUACGGAUAUAGUUAUAAAGCUAUAUUAUUAUUAAUUUGUAUGAUAACUCUAUCUUGAAUAUUAUAGACAAAAAAUUUUUCAUAUAUUUAGUUGGAUUUUAAAGAUUUUAACAAAAUUGUUUAAAUUAUGAAAGUUAAAGGUCAUUUAACAGAAAAGGGUUUAAAAUCAUAAUAAAUAUAAAAGCUGGUAUGAAUACUGCUAGAUAAAAAAAUUUUUCUUUUAAUAAUAUAUAAUUUUAACUUCAUCUUUAGCUAAAGAUGGCUGACUUAACAUAAGGCGGAAAUCAACAAAAUAACUAUAGUGUGUUACAAAGUUAUUUUGUUCGCGGCGAUGGCUGCUAGGUUAAUAAACUAAGAUUUCUGUUUGAGCCGUAUGCCAUGAAAGUGGCACGUACGGUUCUAAGAGGGGGAAAGCUCGAGAGGGCCUACCUAUCUCGACUGUUUAAUUUGAUAACCCGCAAAAAACCUUACCAUAACCUUAAUUGCCCGAAUUCUUAAUAGAUAUUGGGUAUCUUUGAUUUAAAUAAAAGCGUUGCACGGCUGUCUUCAGUUAAUGUCGUGAGACUCUGGUUAGUUCCAUAAAAUUAACGUAAACCCUUACUU
rnacentral:rRNA from 1 species